CAAGGAGGACCGGGUGAACGCGCGCAGGUUGAGAAGGAAUCCCCAGGACUACCCAGCAGACCCGCAGGCUACCGAAAAGAACCCCCAGAAUCCCACAAUACGCAGGGGCAGAGGAAACUCUGCCUCCAAAGUCGGGGUUGCGGGGGCAGCAGCCUAAGCAGAGAAGCCCAGACUUCCCUCUCCCCAGCCACUUCGUCCAGCUCUUCUCGGGGGAUCCCGAAGCGUUCCCAGGCCAGCCGGCUGACAUAGUCUUCCCAAUGUGUCCUGGGGCUUCCCCGUGGCCAACUGCCGGUCGGACUUGCCCUAACGAAAAAAGCAAUUAAAAUGUCCGGUUGCGGGGGCAGCAGCCUAAGCAGAGAAGCCCAGACUUCCCUGUCCCAAGCCACUUCGUCCAGCUCUUCUCGGGGGAUCCUGAGGCGUUCCCAGACCAGCCGGCUUACAUAGUCUUCCCAAUGUGUCCUCUGUCUUCCCCGUGGCCUCCGCCGGUCGGACUUGCCCUAACGAAAAAAGCAAUAAAAAUGGAUUCAAACACAACUCCUAAACCAAAUAUGUAUGUCUAAAAUGCCUGUAAUUUUGAAUCAAUGUGAGUUUUACUAGAAUCAG